rnacentral:rRNA from 1 species
GACGAACGCUGGCGGCGUGCUUAACACAUGCAAGUCGAACGGAGAGGCCCUGCUUUUGUGGGGUGCUCGAGUGGCGAACGGGUGAGUAACACGUGAGUAACCUGCCCUUGACUUUGGGAUAACUUCAGGAAACUGGGGCUGAUACCGGAUAGGAGCUCCUGCUGCAUGGUGGGGGUUGGAAAGUUUCGGCGGUUGGGGAUGGACUCGCGGCUUAUCAGCUUGUUGGUGGGGUAGUGGCUUACCAAGGCUUUGACGGGUAGCCGGCCUGAGAGGGUGACCGGCCACAUUGGGACUGAGAUACGGCCCAGACUCCUACGGGAGGCAGCAGUGGGGAAUAUUGCACAAUGGGCGGAAGCCUGAUGCAGCAACGCCGCGUGCGGGAUGACGGCCUUCGGGUUGUAAACCGCUUUCGCCUGUGACGAAGCGUGAGUGACGGUAAUGGGUAAAGAAGCACCGGCUAACUACGUG